rnacentral:snoRNA from 1 species
AUAUAUUUUAAGAACUGAAUUCUCUGAUGGAUUGGUGGAGAAAGCACAAAAAUUCUGAGUAGC